AUUUUGCUGACGAGUCUUAAAUAAGACAAAACGCAUGUCAUGGAU
rnacentral:hammerhead_ribozyme from 1 species